UUGACCUCAAAUCAGGUAGGACUACCCGCUGAACUUAAGCAUAUCAAUAAGCGGAGGAAAAGAAACUAACAAGGAUUCCCCUAGUAACUGCGAGUGAAGAGGGAAAAGCUCAAAUUUAAAAUCUGGCAGCUUCGCUGUCCGAGUUGUAAUUUAA
rnacentral:rRNA from 2 species